rnacentral:tRNA from 1 species
GCCUUCAUGGUGUAACGGUAGCACACUCUGCGCGUAUUCUAGGGGCCAAGGUUCGAGUCCCUGUGAGGGCA